GUGCUAUACAUGCAAGUCGAGCGAACAGAUAAGGAGCUUGCUCCUUUGACGUUAGCGGCGGACGGGUGAGUAACACGUGGGUAACCUACCUAUAAGACUGGAAUAACUCCGGGAAACCGGGGCUAAUGCCGGAUAACAUAUAGAACCGCAUGGUUCUAUAGUGAAAGAUGGUUUUGCUAUCACUUAUAGAUGGACCCGCGCCGUAUUAGCUAGUUGGUAAGGUAAUGGCUUACCAAGGCGACGAUACGUAGCCGACCUGAGAGGGUGAUCGGCCACACUGGAACUGAGACACGGUCCAGACUCCUACGGGAGGCAGCAGUAGGGAAUCUUCCGCAAUGGGCGAAAGCCUGACGGAGCAACGCCGCGUGAGUGAUGAAGGGUUUCGGCUCGUAAAACUCUGUUAUUAGGGAAGAACAUAUGUGUAAGUAACUGUGCACAUCUUGACGGUACCUAAUCAGAAAGCCACGGCUAACUACGUGCCAGCAGCCGCGGUAAUACGUAGGUGGCAAGCGUUAUCCGGAAUUAUUGGGCGUAAAGCGCGCGUAGGCGGUUUCUUAAGUCUGAUGUGAAAGCCCACGGCUCAACCGUGGAGGGUCAUUGGAAACUGGGAAACUUGAGUGCAGAAGAGGAAAGUGGAAUUCCAUGUGUAGCGGUGAAAUGCGCAGAGAUAUGGAGGAACACCAGUGGCGAAGGCGACUUUCUGGUCUGUAACUGACGCUGAUGUGCGAAAGCG
rnacentral:rRNA from 2 species